GUGAAUCAUCGAAUUUUUGAACGCAAAUUGCACUUUCUGGUAUUCCGGAGAGCAUGCCUGUUUGAGGGUCAGUUAAACCAACAUCGCUGUUGUGGCUGCCCGUAGGGGUGUGUUAUGCAUCGGAAGGGAGACGUUCUUUACAUUUGGUUUAAGUGACGUAAAAUUAUGUUCGAUUUUUGAAAGUAUUUAAAUUAUUACUUACGUCCGUAAUAUCAAUUAUUAGGUGCGGUCAUUCACAUGAUUUCGCGUCUAUAAUUUUUCAUUACUUGACCUCAAAUCAGUUAAGAAUACCCGCUGAA
rnacentral:misc_RNA from 1 species